UACGUAGGGUGCAAGCGUUAAUCGGAAUUACUGGGCGUAAAGCGUGCGCAGGCGGUUGAUGUAAGACAGGUGUGAAAUCCCCGGGCUUAACCUGGGAACUGCAUUUGUGACUGCAUCGCUGGAGGUGCGGGAAGAGGAGAAUGGAAUUCCUGGUGAUAGCGGUGAAAUGCGGCGAGAUAUCAGGAAGAACACCAAUCGGCGGAAGGCAGUUCUCUGGGACGGUACUGA
rnacentral:rRNA from 1 species